rnacentral:rRNA from 1 species
UAGGGAAUCUUCCACAAUGGGCGCAAGCCUGAUGGAGCAACGCCGCGUGAGUGAAGAAGGUCUUCGGAUCGUAAAACUCUGUUGUUAGAGAAGAACAUGCAGGAGAGUAACUGUUCUUGUAUUGACGGUAUCUAACCAGAAAGCCACGGCUAACUACGUGCCAGCAGCCGCGGUAAUACGUAGGUGGCAAGCGUUGUCCGGAUUUAUUGGGCGUAAAGGGAACGCAGGCGGUCCUUUAAGUCUGAUGUGAAAGCCUUCGGCUUAACCGAAGAAUUGCAUUGGAAACUGGAGGACUUGAGUGCAGAAGAGGAGAGUGGAACUCCAUGUGUAGCGGUGAAAUGCGUAGAUAUAUGGAAGAACACCAGUGGCGAAAGCGGCUCUCUGGUCUGUAACUGACGCUGAGGUUCGAAAGUGUGGGUAGCAAACA